CACAUGUUGGUCAGGCUGGUCUGGAACUCCUGGUCUCAAGUGAUCUUCCCGCUUCAGCCUCCCAAAGUGCUGGGAUAACAGGCAUGUGCCACCGCGCCCGGGCUUAAUGUUUGUUUAUAUAGGUUAUUAUAAAUAGUGUUGUCUUUUAUAAAGGCUUGUGAUCAGUUUGUGACAGGCUAUUAAUAUUGUUACUUGUCUAUGUUACUGUGGAUUUUAACAAGAAUUUAUGAGUGUAUUAUUACCUUUAAAGUAAAACUUAUUUUUAAACUAAGAAUGCUUUUUUGUUCUUAAAGUCCUGGUACAUUUUUAUAAGUUUUAUGUCUUUAUUUAUUAACUUGUUCCCGCAACCAUAAAUAUUUUAUAACCAAAAGUACUCAACCCCCUAAAUAUAUAAUCCAACAAAUUUAACUUGUGUGUGUGUGAGGCAGGGUCUCACUCUGUCGCCUAGGCUGGAGUGGAGUGGUGUGAUCAUGGUGGGCUAACUGCAGCCUCAAACUCCUGAGCUCAAGCAAUCCUCCCGCCUCAGCGUCCCGGGUAGCCGGGACUACAGCCUUGGCAGCUGAGGGGCAGAGACCCUUCCUGUGGAAAAUUAGAAACCAAAAGCCCCUGUGAAUCCAGCACACUUGAGGUUCGUUCUCUGCACCCAAGGCGAGGCAGCCACGGAGCCAAGCCACGGUCUCGGAACAGAAAUGUAGCCUCAGGAAAGCAACUGGAACACCCACCACAGUGAUAAUAACCCCCGUAGUACUAAUAACACUCCAUCUGUGAUGCUGGUGUUAGCACCCGUUGUAUACAGAGAUCACACCGUCAGGGUAACGUGACAGCUGCUGUCCAGAUCCGACCCUAGGAAUGCGGAUGUGUCCCUCAGAGCGCACGUAACGCCCAGAAUGCGGGGAUGAAAUCGUGUGCCUAACGCCACACCUGUCACACUUAUAUAACCCCCGGAACACGCAUCUGUCCCUCCGAGCACACACGUAACCACUGGAAUGCCCGUGACACCGUCAGACUAAUGCCACACCCGUCACACUCAUAUAACCCCAGGAACAUGCAUGUAUCCCUGAGAGCUUACGUCCUGUCCAGGAUGCGGCCAUGGCCUUUGCAGCCCACAGGAGAGCGUCUGCAGCUCCCAGGAUGGGACCCUCUGGCUCUUGCUGGGGCGCUGGGUUGACAACCUCUGCCGGACUGGGUUUGGGCUAGAUUUGGCCUGUCAUGAAACUUCAUGUUGUUGUCUGUGCCUUACUGACGUGGUAUUGACACAGUUGAUUUAAGAAGCAGUUUACUUCCCAAUAAUGUCAUACUUCUGGGAAACUUGCAA